rnacentral:rRNA from 1 species
UACAGAGGUCUCAACCGUUGUUCGGAUUCAUUGGGCGUAAAGGGUGCGUAGGCGGUUUGUUAAGUCGGAUGUGAAAUCCCUCGGCUCAACUGAGGAAGUGCAUCCGAAACUGGCAGGCUUGAGUACUAAAGAGGGUCGCGGAAUUCCCGGUGUAGAGGUGAAAUGCGCAGAUAUCAGGAGGAACACCGGUGGCGAAGGCGGUUCUCUGGGCAUGUCCUGACGCUGAGGAGCGAAAGUGUGGGGAGCGAACAGG